rnacentral:rRNA from 1 species
AGCCGCGGUAAUUCCAGCUCCAAUAGCGUAUAUUAAAGUUGUUGCAGUUAAAAAGCUCGUAGUUGAAUUUUAGGCCUGGCCGGGCGGUCCGUCUUUGGCGAGUACUGUCCUGUGUCGGGUCUUCCUUCUGGUGAACCAGUAUGUCCUUUAUUGGGUGUGCCGGGGAGCCAGGACCAUUACCUUGAAAAAAUUAGAGUGUUUAAAGCGGGCUUUUGCUUGAAUAGAUUAGCAUGGAAUAAUAGAAUAGGACGUUGUGGUUCUAUUUUGUUGGUUUCUAGGACCACCGUAAUGAUUAAUAGGGAUAGUUGGGGGCAUUAGUAUUCAAUUGUCAGAGGUGAAAUUCUUGGAUUUAUUGAAGACUAACUAUUGCGAAAGCAUUUGCCAAGGAUGUUUUCAUUAAUCAAGAACGAAAGUUAGGGGAUCGAAGACGAUCAGAUACCGUCGUAGUCUUAACCAUAAACUAUGCCGACUAGGAAUCGGGCGACGUUAUUUUCAUGACUCGCUCGGCGCCUUAUG